GGUUAAGCGAAUAAGCGUACACGGUGGAUGCCUAGGCAAUCAGAGGCGAUGAAGGACGUGCUAAUCUGCGAAAAGCGUCGGUAAGGUGAUAUGAACCGUUAUACCCGACGAUAUCCGAAUGGGGAAACCCAGUAUCCAAUGGAUACUAUCAUUAACUGAAUCCAUAGGUUAAUGAGGCGAACCGGGAGAACUGAAACAUCUCAGUACCCCGAGGAAAAGAAAUCAACCGAGAUUCCCCUAGUAGCGGCGAGCGAACGGGGAGCAGCCCAGAGUCUUAAUCAAUAGCAGUGUCAGGAGAACGGUCUGGAAAGUCCGGCAGUAAAGGGUGAUAGCCCCGUAUCUGAAGAUGCUGUUGUUGUGAACUCGACGAGUAGGGCGGGACACGUGUUAUCCUGUCUGAAUAUGGGGGGACCAUCCUCCAAGGCUAAAUACUCCUGAUUGACCGAUAGUGAACCAGUACCGUGAGGGAAAGGCGAAAAGAACCCCGGCGAGGGGAGUGAAAAAGAACCUGAAACCGUGUACGUACAAGCAGUAGGAGCCUCUUUAUGGGGUGACUGCGUACCUUUUGUAUAAUGGGUCAGCGACUUAUAUUCUGUAGCAAGGUUAACCGUAUAGGGGAGCCGUAGGGAAACCGAGUCUUAACUGGGCGAAUGAGUUGCAGGGUAUAGACCCGAAACCCGGUGAUCUAUCCAUGGGCAGGUUGAAGGUUGGGUAACACUAACUGGAGGACCGAACCGACUAAUGUUGAAAAAUUAGCGGAUGACUUGUGGAUGGGGGUGAAAGGCCAAUCAAACCGGGAGAUAGCUGGUUCUCCCCGAAAGCUAUUUAGGUAGCGCCUCGUGAACUCAUCUUCGGGGGUAGAGCACUGUUUCGACUAGGGGGUCAUCCCGACUUACCAACUCGAUGCAAACUGCGAAUACCGAAGAAUGUUAUCACGGGAGACACACGGCGGGUGCUAACGUCCGUCGUGAAGAGGGAAACAACCCAGACCGCCAGCUAAGGUCCCAAAGUCAUGGUUAAGUGGGAAACGAAGUGGGAAGGCUCAGACAGCCAGGAUGUUGGCUUAGAAGCAGCCAUCAUUUAAAGAAAGCGUAAUAGCUCACUGGUCGAGUCGGCCCGCGCGGAAGAUGUAACGGGGCUAAACCAUGCACCGAAGCUGCGGCAGCGAACGUAUCACUUAAAUUUGUUUGAGUGAAUAACGAUUGACGGAACGAAGUGACGUCAAUGCGUUAAUGAA
rnacentral:rRNA from 1 species